rnacentral:rRNA from 1 species
AGCGAACGCUGGCGGCAGGCCUAACACAUGCAAGUCGAACGAACCUUUCGGGGUUAGUGGCGGACGGGUGAGUAACACGUGGGAACGUGCCUUUAGGUUCGGAAUAACUCAGGGAAACUUGUGCUAAUACCGAAUGUGCCCUUCGGGGGAAAGAUUUAUCGCCUUUAGAGCGGCCCGCGUCUGAUUAGCUAGUUGGUUGAGGUAAUGGCUCACCAAGGCGACGAUCAGGAGCUGGUCUGAGAGGAUGAUCAGCCACAUUGGGACUGAGACACGGCCCAAACUCCUACGGGAGGCAGCAGUGGGGAAUCUUGCGCAAUGGGCGAAAGCCUGACGCAGCCAUGCCGCGUGAAUGAUGAAGGUCUUAGGAUUGUAAAAUUCUUUCACCGGGGACGAUAAUGACGGUACCCGGAGAAGAAGCCCCGGCUAACUUCGUG